rnacentral:lncRNA from 1 species
GAGGAAACCAAGAAUAAAAGCAAGCAUGCUUCAUCUGAUUUAAGUGCUUUCAUGCUUCAGAUUCAGACAUCGAUAACAUGCCUGCAAUGCUUGCUACAGGAAAAUGGAAAGUAUAGACAUCGCUCUGAUCAUGGUACAUCGUAUGAAGUGAUUCAAAAUUUCCGAGAGAAAAUCAAAUUGGAUCAAUUGUAACAGUUAAAUUAACAGUUAGUGCAAAUUAAUAAAGAAAGG